GCCAGACUCCUACGGGAGGCAGCAGUGGGGGAUAUUGCACAAUGGGGGGAACCCUGAUGCAGCGACGCCGCGUGGGUGAAGAAGUAUUUCGGUAUGUAAAGCCCUAUCGGCAGGGAAGAAAUUGGACGGUACCUGACUAAGAAGCCCCGGCUAACUACGUGCCAGCAGCCGCGGUAAUACGUAGGGGGCAAGCGUUAUCCGGAUUCACUGGGUGUAAAGGGAGCGUAGACGGCCAUGCAAGCCUGGAGUGAAAGCCCGGGGCCCAACCCCGGGACUGCUCUGGGAACUGUGCGGCUGGAGUGCGGGAGGGGCAGGCGGAAUUCCUGGUGUAGCGGUGAAAUGCGUAGAUAUCAGGAGGAACACCGGCGGCGAAGGCGGCCUGCUGGACCGCGACUGACGUUGAGGCUCGAAAGCGUGGGGAGCAAACAGGAUUAGAUACCCGUGUAA
rnacentral:rRNA from 1 species